rnacentral:rRNA from 1 species
UGACCUCGGAUCAGGUAGGGAUACCCGCUGAACUUAAGCAUAUCAAUAAGCGGAGGAAGUCCAUCCGAUCGGAGGGCCGUUGGGUGAAACCCCAAUUUUAAACAUUUGUAGCAAAUAUAUUUUUGGCUGUGAAAU